rnacentral:rRNA from 1 species
GACGAACGCUGGCGGCAUGCUUAACACAUGCAAGUCGAACGGAAAGGCCCUGCUUUUGUGGGGUGCUCGAGUGGCGAACGGGUGAGUAACACGUGAGUAACCUGCCCUUGACUUUGGGAUAACUUCAGGAAACUGGGGCUAAUACCGGAUAGGAGCUCCUGCUGCAUGGUGGGGGUUGGAAAGUUUCGGCGGUUGGGGAUGGACUCGCGGCUUAUCAGCUUGUUGGUGGGGUAGUGGCUUACCAAGGCUUUGACGGGUAGCCGGCCUGAGAGGGUGACCGGCCACAUUGGGACUGAGAUACGGCCCAGACUCCUACGGGAGGCAGCAGUGGGGAAUAUUGCACAAUGGGCGGAAGCCUGAUGCAGCAACGCCGCGUGCGGGGUGACGGCCUUCGGGUUGUAAACCGCUUUCGCCUGUGACGAAGCGUGAGUGACGGUAAUGGGUAAAGAAGCACCGGCUAACUACGUG